AGCGAGUAGGCGGAGAAGACGAGGAGCGGCGGAGGUCGGAAAGGAGCCGGUCCCUUCAGCGGGAAACGCCGGGGUGGCCCAGCGGGGACCGGCGCGGGGUCAUGGUCAGUUUUUGUCAGCAUUGCUGAGAAGUCACUCACGACAGCUGAUCAUUCUUCAUUAACAGCAGUACCAAAGAAUGGGAGGGAAGUGACAAGACUGCAUCUCUGAACAAGGGACUGAAACAGAGCAUAAAUCAAACUGUCCCCCACAGUUUUUGUCCUUGCACUUUCAUGAGCAACAGCAUUCCCACUGCUGCUUCAAGGAACUGGAGAGGUGUCAUUGGCAACCAUGCCUGUUGUCCCGUGAAAAGACUCUGGAAAAUGAAUGUCCACCUUUUCCUUCUCUGAUCCUUUUUAAAAUCCUUAUGUAAUACCUUGUGACCAGCUACUAUCACAGAAGACACGGAGAAACUUCCUACAUGCUUCUUGCAAGAUGUGUGUUCAACUGUGGAAAAUAUGCAGAGGCCUGUGAAGUUCAUGAGUAGGAGAUGUUUACAAAAAUAGUAUCUGUAUCAGAUCUAUAGAGGCAGGAAUCGUCCUGCAGGGGCUGUUGCUCCAGUAUGCUUCACUGCUGGCCUCCUGCCACUGGCAGUUUGGAUUCCCCAGUAAAAGCUACUUCUG